rnacentral:rRNA from 1 species
GGGUUGUGAGGUUAAGCGACUAAGCGUACACGGUGGAUGCCCUGGCAGUCAGAGGCGAUGAAGGACGUGCUAAUCUGCGAUAAGCGCCGGUAAGGUGAUAUGAACCGUUAUAACCGGCGAUUUCCGAAUGGGGAAACCCAGUGUGAUUCGUCACACUAUCAUUAACUGAAUCCAUAGGUUAAUGAGGCGAACCGGGGGAACUGAAACAUCUAAGUACCCCGAGGAAAAGAAAUCAACCGAGAUUCCCCCAGUAGCGGCGAGCGAACGGGGAGGAGCCCAGAGCCUGAAUCAGCAUGUGUGUUAGUGGAAGCGUCUGGAAAGGCGCGCGAUACAGGGUGACAGCCCCGUACACAAAAGCGCAUGUGCUGUGAGCUCGAUGAGUAGGGCGGGACACGUGGUAUCCUGUCUGAAUAUGGGGGGACCAUCCUCCAAGGCUAAAUACUCCUGACUGACCGAUAGUGAACCAGUACCGUGAGGGAAAGGCGAAAAGAACCCCGGCGAGGGGAGUGAAAAAGAACCUGAAACCGUGUACGUACAAGCAGUGGGAGCACCCUUCGGGGUGUGACUGCGUACCUUUUGUAUAAUGGGUCAGCGACUUAUAUUCUGUAGCAAGGUUAACCGUAUAGGGGAGCCGGAGGGAAACCGAGUCUUAAUUGGGCGUUAAGUUGCAGGGUAUAGACCCGAAACCCGGUGAUCUAGCCAUGGGCAGGUUGAAGGUUGGGUAACACUAACUGGAGGACCGAACCGACUAAUGUUGAAAAAUUAGCGGAUGACCUGUGGCUGGGGGUGAAAGGCCAAUCAAACCGGGAGAUAGCUGGUUCUCCCCGAAAGCUAUUUAGGUAGCGCCUCGUGAAUUCAUCUCCGGGGGUAGAGCACUGUUUCGGCUAGGGGGCCAUCCCGGCUUACCAACCCGAUGCAAACUGCGAAUACCGGAGAAUGUUAUCACGGGAGACACACGGCGGGUGCUAACGUCCGUCGUGAAGAGGGAAACAACCCAGACCGCCAGCUAAGGUCCCAAAGUCAUGGUUAAGUGGGAAACGAUGUGGGAAGGCCCAGACAGCCAGGAUGUUGGCUUAGAAGCAGCCAUCAUUUAAAGAAAGCGUAAUAGCUCACUGGUCGAGUCGGCCUGCGCGGAAGAUGUAACGGGGCUAAACCAUGCACCGAAGCUGCGGCAGCGAACGUAUCACCCAAGACAACUUUACGGAGUUGACGAUUGACGGAGCGAAGCGACGUCAAAGCGUUCAUUAAAGUCGAGUUGGCUUAGGGAUACGUUCGUUGGGUAGGGGAGCGUUCUGUAAGCCUGUGAAGGUGUGUCGUGAGGCAUGCUGGAGGUAUCAGAAGUGCGAAUGCUGACAUAAGUAACGAUAAAGCGGGUGAAAAGCCCGCUCGCCGGAAGACCAAGGGUUCCUGUCCAACGUUAAUCGGGGCAGGGUGAGUCGACCCCUAAGGCGAGGCCGAAAGGCGUAGUCGAUGGGAAACGGGUUAAUAUUCCCGUACUUGGUGUUACUGCGAAGGGGGGACGGAGAAGGCUAUGUUGGCCGGGCGACGGUUGUCCCGGUUUAAGCGUGUAGGUGUGUGUUCCAGGUAAAUCCGGUUCACUUUAACACUGAGGCGUGACGACGAGGCACUACGGUGCUGAAGCAACAAAUGCCCUGCUUCCAGGAAAAGCCUCUAAGCAUCAGGUAACAUCAAAUCGUACCCCAAACCGACACAGGUGGUCAGGUAGAGAAUACCAAGGCGCUUGAGAGAACUCGGGUGAAGGAACUAGGCAAAAUGGUGCCGUAACUUCGGGAGAAGGCACGCUGACACGUAGGUGAAGUGAUUUACUCAUGGAGCUGAAGUCAGUCGAAGAUACCAGCUGGCUGCAACUGUUUAUUAAAAACACAGCACUGUGCAAACACGAAAGUGGACGUAUACGGUGUGACGCCUGCCCGGUGCCGGAAGGUUAAUUGAUGGGGUCAGCGCAAGCGAAGCUCCUGAUCGAAGCCCCGGUAAACGGCGGCCGUAACUAUAACGGUCCUAAGGUAGCGAAAUUCCUUGUCGGGUAAGUUCCGACCUGCACGAAUGGCGUAAUGAUGGCCAGGCUGUCUCCACCCGAGACUCAGUGAAAUUGAACUCGCUGUGAAGAUGCAGUGUACCCGCGGCAAGACGGAAAGACCCCGUGAACCUUUACUAUAGCUUGACACUGAACAUUGAGCCUUGAUGUGUAGGAUAGGUGGGAGGCUUUGAAGUGUGGACGCCAGUCUGCAUGGAGCCGACCUUGAAAUACCACCCUUUAAUGUUUGAUGUUCUAACGUGGACCCGUAAUCCGGGUUGCGGACAGUGUCUGGUGGGUAGUUUGACUGGGGCGGUCUCCUCCUAAAGAGUAACGGAGGAGCACGAAGGUUGGCUAAUCCUGGUCGGACAUCAGGAGGUUAGUGCAAUGGCAUAAGCCAGCUUGACUGCGAGCGUGACGGCGCGAGCAGGUGCGAAAGCAGGUCAUAGUGAUCCGGUGGUUCUGAAUGGAAGGGCCAUCGCUCAACGGAUAAAAGGUACUCCGGGGAUAACAGGCUGAUACCGCCCAAGAGUUCAUAUCGACGGCGGUGUUUGGCACCUCGAUGUCGGCUCAUCACAUCCUGGGGCUGAAGUAGGUCCCAAGGGUAUGGCUGUUCGCCAUUUAAAGUGGUACGCGAGCUGGGUUUAGAACGUCGUGAGACAGUUCGGUCCCUAUCUGCCGUGGGCGCUGGAGAACUGAGGGGGGCUGCUCCUAGUACGAGAGGACCGGAGUGGACGCAUCACUGGUGUUCGGGUUGUCAUGCCAAUGGCACUGCCCGGUAGCUAAAUGCGGAAGAGAUAAGUGCUGAAAGCAUCUAAGCACGAAACUUGCCCCGAGAUGAGUUCUCCCUGAGACUUUAGGUCUCCUGAAGGAACGUUGAAGACGACGACGUUGAUAGGCCGGGUGUGUAAGCGCAGCGAUGCGUUGAGCUAACCGGUACUAAUGAACCGUGAGGCUUAACCUUACAACGCCGAAG